AACGAACGCUGGCGGCAGGCCUAACACAUGCAAGUCGAGCGAGCAUUUCGGUGCUAGCGGCGGACGGGUGAGUAACGCGUGGGAACGUGCCCUUUUCUGCGGAAUAGUCCUGGGAAACUGGGGGUAAUACCGCAUACGCCCUUUUGGGGAAAGAUUUAUCGGAGAAGGAUCGGCCCGCGUUGGUUUAGGUAGUUGGUGGGGUAAUGGCCCACCAAGCCGACGAUCCAUAGCUGGUUUGAGAGGAUGAUCAGCCACACUGGGACUGAGACACGGCCCAGACUCCUACGGGAGGCAGCAGUGGGGAAUCUUAGACAAUGGGGGCAACCCUGAUCGAGCCAUGCCGCGUGAGUGAUGAAGGCCUUAGGGUUGUAAAGCUCUUUCAGCUGGGAAGAUAAUGACGGUACCAGCAGAAGAAGCCCCGGCUAACUCCGUG
rnacentral:rRNA from 1 species